rnacentral:rRNA from 1 species
CGGUUGAUCCUGCCGACGAUGUCCGCUCACGCUGAAGAUUAACACAUGCAAGCUUUGUUGAACCUACUUCAACGGGAAAACAGCGAAUGGCUCAUUACAACAGUUAUAGUUUCCAUGACGAAUCAUCUUACUCGGAUAACUCUGGUAACUCUAGAGCUAAUACGUGCAUUAAACGGGCAAUCCUUUAUUGGAGAGUCCGGUGCUUAUUAGGUUCAAACCAACAUCAGGGCAACCUGAUUAUUUGGUGACUCAGAAUAAUCCAACGGAGCCUAUGCUUUCGGGCGAGGCCGCGUCAUUCAAGUUUCUGACCUAUCAGCUUUCGAUUGUGCGGUAUUGGCCCACAAUGGCUUUGACGGGUAACGGGGUUUUGGGGAACGACUCCGGAGAAACAGCAUGAGAUUCGGCUGUUACAUCCAAGGAAGGCAGCAGUGGCGUAAAUUACCCAAUGCCGGUUUAUGGCGAGGUAGUGACGGCGAUUAACACUGACCUUGGCUUUCAGCUAGGGUCGGUUUGGAAUGGCUGGGUUCUAAAAAUACCCAGGAGGAUCAAUUGGAGGGCAAGUCUGGUGCCAGCAGCCGCGGUAAUUCCAGCUCCAAUGGCGGAUGUUGAUUCUGCUGCAGUUAAAAAGCUCGUAGUUGAAUUUUGGCCUUUGUUUCUUGCGGCUUUGUAUCGCGGUGUUAAAACCGUGGUGCGGGCAUGUUGGGAGCGGGGCUUUUGCGCGGGGAGCCUUCGUUUGGUUUACUCCAAGCGUUGGGGAUCUGCGCCUUUUACUGUGAGGAAAUCUAGGUGCUCAAAGCGGGCUUUACGCUCGAAAGCUUCAGCACNGAAUGAUAAGAUACGGCUCGGUCGGUCUUGUUGGUUUAUCGAACGAGUAAUGGUUAACAGGAACAGUUGGGGGUAUUCGUAUUGGCAUGUCAGAGGUGAAAUUCUUGGAUUAUGUCAAGACGAACGACUGCGAAAGCAUUUACCAAGGAUGUUUUCAUUAAUCAAGAACGAAAGUUGGGGGAUCGAAGAUGAUUAGAUACCAUCGUAGUCUCAACCGUAAACGAUGCCGACUGUCAAUCGUCACGCUUUUUUUUAAAGAGGCGUGGCGGCGGGCGAUGAGAAAUCGAAGUCUUUGGGUUCUGGGGGGAGUAUGGUCGCAAGACUGAAACUUAAAGGAAUUGACGGAAGGGCACACCAGAGGUGGAGCUUGGGCUUAAUUUGACCCAACACGGGAAAACUUACCAGGUCCGGACUUCAAAAGGAUUGACAGAUUGAAAGCUCUUUCAUGAUCUGAAGGGUGGUGGUGCAUGGCCGUUCGUAGUUGGUGGAGUGAUUUGUCUGGUUAAUUCCGUUAACGAACGAGACCUCGGCCUGCUAAAUAGUAGACCUUAUCUCGCGAUAGGUGUACACUUCUUAGAGGGACUUUGUGUUUUUAAUGCAAGGAAGUUCGAGGCAAUAACAGGUCUGUGAUGCCCUUAGAUGUUCUGGGCCGCACGCGUGCUACAAUGAGUGGAUCAAUAGGUUUUGUGCUUCUCCGAAAGGAGUCGCUAAUCCCGAAUACCACUCGUGAUGGGGCUUGAUUUUUGCAAUUAUGAAUCACCAACGAGGAAUCUCUAGUAAGCGUAAAUCAUCAGUUUGCGCUGAUUACGUCCCUGCCCUUUGUACACACCGCCCGUCGCACCUACCGAUUGCGCGCUUGAAUGAAAUCUCGGGAGCCGAAAUACUGGGCCGUUAAAAGUUUGGUGAUUUGGUGAACUUGAUUGAAUUCAACUGCGUAGAGGAAGGUGAAGUCGUAACAAGGUC